rnacentral:rRNA from 1 species
AGAGUUUGAUCCUGGCUCAGGACGAACGCUGGCGGCGCGCCUAACACAUGCAAGUCGAACGGAGCUGAGAGGAGCUUGCUUUUCUUAGCUUAGUGGCGAACGGGUGAGUAACGCGUGAGUAACCUGCCCUGGAGUGGGGGACAACAGUUGGAAACGACUGCUAAUACCGCAUAAGCCCACGGAUUCGCAUGGAUCUGCGGGAAAAGGAUUUAUUCGCUUCAGGAUGGACUCGCGUCCAAUUAGCUAGUUGGUGAGGUAACGGCCCACCAAGGCGACGAUUGGUAGCCGGACUGAGAGGUUGAACGGCCACAUUGGGACUGAGACACGGCCCAGACUCCUACGGGAGGCAGCAGUGGGGGAUAUUGCACAAUGGGGGAAACCCUGAUGCAGCGACGCCGCGUGGAGGAAGAAGGUCUUCGGAUUGUAAACUCCUGUUGUUGAGGAAGAUAAUGACGGUACUCAACAAGGAAGUGACGGCUAACUACGUGCCAGCAGCCGCGGUAAAACGUAGGUCACAAGCGUUGUCCGGAAUUACUGGGUGUAAAGGGAGCGCAGGCGGGAAGACAAGUUGGAAGUGAAAUCUAUGGGCUCAACCCAUAAACUGCUUUCAAAACUGUUUUUCUUGAGUAGUGCAGAGGUAGGCGGAAUUCCCGGUGUAGCGGUGGAAUGCGUAGAUAUCGGGAGGAACACCAGUGGCGAAGGCGACCUACUGGGCACCAACUGACGCUGAGGCUCGAAAGCAUGGGUAGCAAACAGGAUUAGAUACCCUGGUAGUCCAUGCCGUAAACGAUGAUUACUAGGUGUUGGAGGAUUGACCCCUUCAGUGCCGCAGUUAACACAAUAAGUAAUCCACCUGGGGAGUACGACCGCAAGGUUGAAACUCAAAGGAAUUGACGGGGGCCCGCACAAGCAGUGGAGUAUGUGGUUUAAUUCGAAGCAACGCGAAGAACCUUACCAGGUCUUGACAUCCGAUGCAUAGUGCAGAGAUGCAUGAAGUCCUUCGGGACAUCGAGACAGGUGGUGCAUGGUUGUCGUCAGCUCGUGUCGUGAGAUGUUGGGUUAAGU